rnacentral:rRNA from 1 species
UACGUAGGGGGCAAGCGUUGUCCGGAUUUAUUGGGCGUAAAGAGCGUGUAGGCGGCCAGACAGGUCCGUUGUGAAAACUCGAGGCUCAACCCUCGAGAUGUCGAUGGAAACCGUCUGGCUAGAGUCCGGAAGAGGAGUGUGGAAUUCCUGGUGUAGCGGUGAAAUGCGCAGAUAUCAGGAAGAACACCUAUGGCGAAGGCAGCACUCUGGGACGGUACUGACGCUGAGACGCGAAAAGCGUGGGGGAGCGAACAGG